GACUUCUGGGAAAAUUUGCAAGAAGAAGGAGGCUUUUGCAAUGUGUUACAAUUCCCACUGCAUCAUUUGGUUCUGGGGUUAUAACAGAAUGUCAUCUUCAAGCUGGUGUUCCAGCUUGUCUCCAAGAGGCCAUGUUACUCUGUUGUCAUACCAGGAACUUCUAGAUGGUGUGGUGUGUGAUGUGGCCAGUAGGUUCCAUGUCCAUGUGCCUACUGUUGUACUCUUUUGCCAUAAAGUGGGUCUCUUGAUUCAAGCUCCAGUUCUCUGUGGUACUCAUGUGUCCCAGCUGCCAUCCUAUUCCUUGUUUCAACCAUAAUCCCAAGUUCCAAGAACCCAAGACCAAUUAUAGUAGAUUGCUUGAAAGAAGGAUGUCAUGACCAUUUUUGCUGGCUGAAGAGAAUAGGGAGGAAUCCAAAACACGUAAGAGAACAAGGAGACCCUCAGCUCCGAGGCUAAAAUGUGAUAACCUGAAUGAAUGACCCAAAGCACAAAUUCUUCCACUAUGUUCCUAGCUCCACAGAAAAAUGUUGCUGCAGUGUCUACACUGAAAAUUAGAUUUAUGGAGGGCUGAAAACAAUGAUUUGUUGGCAUGAGAUCAUGUACUUAACAAAAGAAAGCUUUUCUUGAAUAAAAAGUGGAGAAUGACAUCAUCUCUUUGGAUUACCAAGCUGUAAUGCUACAAAAGUUGAGAUUUUUUCCUGCAAUCAUUUCCAAAUCCUUUUGAAUUAAUUUGUAUUAACAAAUAUUCUAAUAAUAAGUCCCUUCAGUAAAACA